ACCACUAGAGGCUGCUGCACUGC
rnacentral:miRNA from 1 species